UAUUUUCCCGUAAAAUUUUUGUUUUUGGCAGGAAAUAGAUUUACAAGGGAUUUUAAAAGGGUUUUAAAAGAUUUACAAGAAAUUUUAAAAGGGUUUAAAAGAUUUACAAGAGAUUUUAAAAGGGUUUAAAAGAUUUACAAGAGAUUUUAAAAAGGUUUUAAAAGAUUUACAAGAGAUUUUAAAGGGCUUUAAAAGACUUACAAGAGUUUUUAAAAGAUUUUUAAAGGGUUCGAAAGUGUUUUAAAAGAUUUACAAGGGAUUUUUAAAGAGUUUUAAAAGAUGUACAAGAGUUUUUAUAAUAUUUUAAAAGAAUUUAUAAGAAAAACUUUUAAAAAUUCUUGUAACUCUUUUUAAAACCUUUUGUAAAGGUUCACAAGAGAUUUAAAAUGGUUCAAAAAGAGUUAUAAAUGUUUUAAAUACUUACAAUUCUUUUU
rnacentral:sRNA from 1 species